rnacentral:rRNA from 1 species
UGAGAAACCUGUCCCGGUCUCUGGAAUAACAGUCGGAAAACGACUGCUAAUACCGGAUGCCGUCGGAGCGUCGCAUGGCGCGCUGACGAAAGGGCUACCGGAUCGGGAGGGUCUCGCGGCCUAUCAGCUUGUUGGUGAGGUAACGGCUCACCAAGGCAUCGACGGGUAGCUGGUUUGAGAGGAUGAUCAGCCACACUGGGACUGAGACACGGCCCAGACCUCCCGUAGGGAGGCG